rnacentral:rRNA from 1 species
GAUUGAACGCUGGCGGCAUGCCUUACACAUGCAAGUCGAACGGCAGCACGGGAGCAAUCCUGGUGGCGAGUGGCGAACGGGUGAGUAAUACAUCGGAACGUGCCCAGUAGUGGGGGAUAACCCGGCGAAAGCCGGACUAAUACCGCAUACGACCUAUGGGUGAAAGCGGGGGAAUCGCAAGACCUCGCGCUAUCGGAGCGGCCGAUGUCAGAUUAGCUUGUUGGCGGGGUAAAAGCCCACCAAGGCGACGAUCUGUAGCUGGUCUGAGAGGACGACCAGCCACACUGGGACUGAGACACGGCCCAGACUCCUACGGGAGGCAGCAGUGGGGAAUUUUGGACAAUGGGCGCAAGCCUGAUCCAGCCAUGCCGCGU